GACGAACGCUGGCGGCGUGCUUAACACAUGCAAGUCGAACGGAAAGGCCCUGCUCUUGUGGGGGGCGCGUGUGGCGAACGGGGGAGUAAAACGUGAGUAACCUGUCCUCUACUUUGGGAUAACUGCAGGAAACUGGGGCUAUUACCCGGUAUGAGCUCUGGCUGCAUGGGGGGGGUUGUAGAGUUUCGGCGGUUGGGGUUGGAUUCGCGGCUUAUCAGCUUGUUGGUGGGGUAGUGGCUUACCAAGGCUUUGACGGGUAGCCGGCCUGAGAGGGUGACCGGCCACAUUGGGACUGAGAUACGGCCCAGACUCCUACGGGAGGCAGCAGUGGGGAAUAUUGCACAAUGGGCGGAAGCCUGAUGCAGCAACGCCGCGUGCGGGAUGACGGCCUUCGGGUUGUAAACCGCUUUCGCCUGGGACGAAGCGUGAGUGACGGUAAUGGGUAAAGAAGCACCGGCUAACUACGUG
rnacentral:rRNA from 1 species